UAGACAUACUGUGGCGUCAUUUUAAACAUAGAACGCAUAGUUCGUGGCCAGUCGCGCCACGCUGAGGGUAAUUAUGUUUUUCUUUCUAUAGUUUGUGUGAGCGUCCAUUGCUGCAGAAUGGGGCGGAAUACAACUCAGCAAAUGUUACGUGACUUGUCACGGAAAUCGCAACCAUUUUAGGUCUUCCCGGAAAGAAUGGAUCGACUACUAAUUAUAGCUCUGUUUUAAUAAGGCGACAAAAAUUCUGAAUAUGGCUUUACAUCUGGCAGAAUUGCGACUCCGACACUGGAAAUUUACCGAGACAAAAGUACUGCCUCUAUGGCGUGAAAGUGUAGCUUGUAUACGAUUUGAGAAAUAUGAUUUCUUAUGUAAGAAAAAAAAAUUCUUGGUUAAUACACUUACGAGCCUUUAUAUUAUUAUUAGUAGUAGUAAUUUUUUAUAUUAUCAACAGUUAUUGUAAUGCUUUAUCUUCCUACCUAAAAUUUAAAAACAACAAACAAUUCAUGUAAUGGAGGAGAGGGCACCCCCGAUAUCGUAAUACAUUUCUGAUUAGGGCGAAUUUACUUUAUUUUUAAAUUUUUGUUAUUGUUGACCGUUGGUGGAGGCCCUGUAAUUAUUUUUUGGUAGUUCAAUAAUUUGCAAACUAACCCCAAAUUCUGAAUUUCCUUUUUGGUUAGAUGUCAGAAAAUGCCAAAUACAAAACCUACUACAUUGCAAGGCAAAGGCAAAAACACGUUUUUUUUUUAUCUCAAUUUAAAUUUUCAAAAAAAAGUAUAGAGUAAAACGCACUAGACGUAUAGAUGUUACAUUACAUAUUACAUAUGUAAUAUUUUAUUUGGAUUGUUCUCCAAUUUUUUUAUGUGACCUCAGACUUGACGCAGCCAACGUACGAUAGUAUAGAAAAUAAUUGAGAAAUGCACAAAAAUAAUUCUAGAACUCAAUUGGAAUAGCUACAAGAACUAUAUUGUAGGUGAAACAGAAUUAUCUACAUUUAAACAGUUUUAAUUAGGCGUCUAUAGUUUUGUCAUUUAGAAUAUUUUACAAGGCUGAUAAAAAAUAACUAGAAAACGAAUGUUUUUCUUUAAUUGAAAAAAUAUAUUGGGCCUCCACAAUCGGUCAAUUAGUUUUAUUGUUAAAGUAUUAUAAAUCUGAUAAAUAAAUCUUUUUUGAUUUUGA